GAUGAAGAACGUAGCGAAAUGCGAUAAGUAGUGUGAAUUGCAGAAUUCAGUGAAUCAUCGAAUCUUUGAACGCACAUUGCGCCCCUUGGUAUUCCAUGGGGCAUGCCUGUUCGAGCGUCAUCUACAACCCUCAAGCCCUGCUUGGUGUUGGGCGUCUGUCCCGCCCCCGCGCGCGGAAUCGCCCCAAAUCCAUUGGCGGCGGCCCUUGCCUCCCUCUCGCGCAGCACAUUGCGCUUCUCGAGGCGUCGCGGGCCGCGCUCCACGAAGCACGCAAACCAGUCUUUGACCUCGGAUCAGGUAGGGAUACCCGCUGAACUUAAGCAUAUCAAUAAGCGGAGGA
rnacentral:misc_RNA from 1 species